CGUGAUGAAAAACCUCGUGUUGGUGAUGACCCCGUUUUUCAGAUCGUGUUUCUUUGAGGAUGGACGAUGAAGACAGAGCUUCACGUUCUUGAUGAUGAAGAAUGGAGAUAAGGUUCUGCGUGUUAGCGAUUCAUGUACGUUAGCAAAGAAGAGUGAAGAUUGAAAGAUAACCUUCUCUCCGCGUCGACUUCCAAUGUUCUGGUGCGGUAUUCAGGUUAUAUAGGUUGUCAUUGUUUGGACCAAUGCUAUGGGAUUGAGCUUGGAGUCAUGCUUGGGAAAGGAUGGUUAUGGACCAUUGCGUUGACUUGCUUGGAUUAGAUUUCUACGGAAUGCUACGGCCUUGUGGGACAUUAUUGUAACGACUUAUGUCAUGAAUUUGAAAUGAUUGUAAAGUUGGAAAUGAAUGUAAAUGUAUGUAUUUAAAUGGAAUGAAUGGUUGUAAAAGUUCGUUGGAAAUGAAUAUGAAAUUAGGUAAUGGCCUAUGUUGUAACUUUGAAAUUGAAAUAUUGUAAUUGGAAUGUUAAUGAAUGAAAGUUAUUAUGGUAUUUUGAA